AUAUGGAAGUUCCCAGGCUAGGGGUCAAAUCAGAGCUGUAGCCACUGGCCUACGCCACAGCAACGCCAGACCCAAAACUCAUCUGCAACCUACACCACAGCUCAUGGCAAUGCCGGAUCCUUAACCCACUGAGCAAGGCCAGGGAUUGAACCCAUCCUCAUCGGUACUUGGGUUUGUUACUGCUGAGCCACAACAAGAAUUCCCUACAUAUCUUUUUUUAAAGACAGGAAGAAAGAGAAAGAGGGUUCUACAAGCUCCUCCUGCCACAGCACAACUGAAGAACAAGGAUUAUAAUUAAAGCAUUUUGCUACGUGCAGUGGUUAUUUAAAUUGCAGCAAAUCCUUUGUUACUGUUCUCAUUGGGAGGCGAAGUGCUUGUCCACUUCAUGCAAAUCUGGGCACCCUUGUUUUGACCAAGAGAAUAUGGCAGAGUGAUGCUCUAUGACUUCUAAAGCUGGAUCAUAGAAGGCAUGGACCUUCCCUCUGGCUCUACCAGGAGGUUUGCUCUAGGUUAAAGCAGUUGCUAUGUGAGAAGUCUGAAUAUCCCGAGACAGCCAUGCUAGAGAGGCCACAGGUAGUCUCUCCAUUGAUAGCCCCAGCUGAGCUCUCAACUGAGAGCCAACAUCAUCUGCCAACCCGUGUUGGAUGUCCCAGGUGACAUCUCAGUGUGACCACAGGCGGAACCUCAGGGCAGAACACCCAGCCAUGCCCAAAUUCCUGACCUGCAAAAUUAUGAGCAAAAGAAAAUGCUGUUUUAAGAGGUUGGGUUUGGGGAGUUAUUUGUUUACAAUAAUAGAUCAUUGAAACCUGACCAGACUGUUCUGAUGGAUGUGUGCCAGUCUUUAUCAAAUUAUCUCAAACAACCCCUCUGGUAGGAUCCUGUUUCACUCAUAAUGAUCACGCAGCAGCUCUCUGUAUUUCACCAAUUAUAAAUCCAACCAUAUUUUUGCAUAAUUCCUCCAAAACGUUUCCCAGUUUUCUAUAUUUCUAAGGCUCUUGGCCUGACAUUUUACCUAAGGAGCAAGUAGGUUACAGAUGCAACUACCCUUCUUAAGGUCCAAUGUUAUAUGGAAACGAAUCUGACUAGUAUCUAUGAGGAUGCAGGUUCUAUCCUCGGCCUUGCUCAGUGGUUCAGGGAUCUAGCAUUGCCAUGAGCUGUGUUGUAGGUUGCAGAUGUGGCUUGGAUCCCAUGUUGCUGUGGCUGUGGGGUAGGCCAGCAGCUGUAGCUCUGAUUUGACCCCUAGACUGGGAACUUCCAUAUGCCAUAGGCGUGGCUCUAAAAAAGAAAAAAAAAAAAAAUUCUCCUCAAGAGCUCCCACUAUGACUGGCAGUGAGUUCUCCUUGAAAUAAGUUAGCCACAAAAGUCCAAAUAUUGUAUAAUUCCACUCAUAGAAGGUACCUAGAAUAGUCGAAUUUAUAGAGACAGAAAGUAAAAUGGUGGUUACCAAGGACUGAGCAAGAGAGGAAUGGGAAGUUAGUGUUUAAUCAAACAGAAUUUCAGGUGGAGAAGAUAGAAAACUUCUGGAAAUGGAUGAUGGUGAUGGUUGCACAACACUGAACUGUACACUUAAAAUGAAAUAAAUUUUAUAUUAUGUACAUUUUAUCACAACAAAAAAAUUCCAAAAAAAUUCUCCAUCCAAACACCCCGUAUAAAAAUCAUGACAAGCAGGAACAGUCUCCUAACAGAGCAGAUCAUGACCCUUUGAGGGGUGUAAAACCGGAUGAGCUCCUUUUUUGUUUAAAAGCUCCCCACCCCCCACCAUGUAAAUAGGAAAAGAAACAUUUUCCUCUGGUCUGAUGACAUUGUUUUAUCAUCAUGAAUGAAAAAUGGCCUCCAGAAAAAGUGGUUGCUGUCAAAAAUAAUGGCCUAAGCAACCAUAAUAAAACUAAAGUCAUGGUUUGCAGGAGUUGUUCUCAACUCAUUCCAUUUCAUUUUGCAAGGAAUUCAUUCUCUUUGCCCCAUCAGAAAGCCUUGUCGUCCAGUCAGAGGUAAUGUGGGAGUCCUACUGGUGUUUUUCUCCAGCCAUGGUGGGUGAUUAGGAAACACCAGCUUUGACAUUUUUUCCAUGCCAAAACAGUAUGGAGCUCCAGGGACUCAAUUAAACAUUUGUUCAAGUGCUGGAGCAUUUUCAAAGCAACUUCCUAAGGAAAAUUUUGGCUCACCCUUGAGAUGCCCCUGUAGCCUACCUCUAAGGAAAAUUGGGGUGGUCUUUAUCGGUGUGAAUACACUGAUUUGCUUCUGCACUUUUAGUAGAAGGAUGACAGACUUAGCAUUUGCUCAGUUGUUUUCCAAACCCUAUGAAUCUGUGCUCUAUGAUCCCAAAGUAAUAACAACACUCUGGGCUUUUGCUAGAGAGAAGAAUCUUAAUUUUAAAUUGUUUGGUUCAGCUGCAGGAAGUGAUAUAUGGGAAAGACUGUCCAAUGGAUGUGUAGUUUAGGGUUCAAAGUGAACCCCCAAAUACGAAAUUAUGUUAGCUGAGUCAGUCUGCAAAGACUCCUCUUCACUCAAGUCUUGGUUUUUAUGGGAGGUUAUUACAAGAAACGGGGCUGUAGAUAUCCUCUUUUUUUCUCUAUAAAAAUACUAUCAGGACCCUGCCUGCUAUAUCCCACAGUGCCCCUUAUGAUACUUCACAUAGUAAAUUUACGAUUUGUUUCAUUUGAAAAUAGAUAUUCUUGGCAUUUUCCAAUAGCACAAUCAAUGUCAAGGAUUUUCUCUCUUUACCUUGGCUACUAAGCAACUCAGGACCAGGAGUUCCCCUUCUGGCUCAUCGCUAACGAACCCGCUAGUAUCCAUGAGGACUUGGAUUUAAACCCUGGCCUUGCUCAGUGGGUUAAGGAUCCAGCGUUGCAGUGAACUGUAGUGUAGCUCACAGACUUGGCUCAGAUCCCGAAUUGCUGUGGCUGUGGUGCUGGGGUGUACGCCUGCAGCUACAGCUCUGAUUUUACCCCUAGCCUGGGCACUUCCAUAUGCUGCACCUGUAGCCAUAAAAAGACCAAAAACAAAACAAAACAAAACAAAACAAAAAACCAAAAAACUCAGGACCAAAUCUGAAGUAAUCUUAUUUACUCUUAAGGUCGCCUGAUUUAAGUUUCAAUUUUUUCUUUUCUGGUUUUCUAUUUUGAUGUUACCAAGUUAUUUGAAGUAGAGUGUUUUCCAUCAUAGACCACCCAGAUUCUUUUUGGAAAGAAAUGAUGAGUAAAACAUAUUUAGCUCAUAACUUUUAAUUCCCUUUGAUUGUGUCACCUCAGUUCAGCCUCAGUUUAUAGCAAUUGACCUUCAAAAUGAAUGCUUAAGAAUUAAAAAGGUUAGAAAGUAACUUAAAGCUGAUAAAAACAAACAUACUGAAAGUUCUAGAGGCAAGGCUGUACACUAAAUCCAUAUCAGAGACUUUCAGAAAGGGAGAUGACCUUGAGUGAAUUCCUUCACUUCUUUGGAGCCCAAGACAGAACUGAAGUUUGGGCAGACUCAGUUUAACGAAGGACCAUCCUUCAGCUGGGAGUAACCCUGCCUCCACUGAAUUCCCUCCUACUUUAUUUAGAGCCUAUCUCCAGGCCUUUACACUUUCUAGCCCUUGCUAUCAUCUAAACUUGCUUCCAGUCACCAGCCUGGAUCAUCUAUGAGGGUAGGAGCCCUGCAUUUAUUCUUUCCCAAUUCUUUCUUACCCUUCCUACCAGAAGAGGUUGGUCCACAUGUUCACUGAAUGAAAAUAACUCCCUAACUCACAAAAUGCGGUUCGUUCUAAGGUUGCUCUCUGUGUAUUCACUCAUAGGCAUCUGCUGCUCAGGUCCAUUUCUCUGUAGCGUCAAACACUGGAUCUUUGCCCAGACAGAAUACCGAGAUCUAAGGAGCAUGUGACAUUCCUGGCAUUGCUUUGCUCUGCAAUGAUGGUCACCCAUAAAGUUUCUGAUAAGUAAAUGAGUGUGAGGCACAGUCGGUCCUUUCUGUUCCUUCCUCAAAUUAUCCUGAUCAUUAAUUCCACUUUCCAAAAUUACCAAGGCUUAUUUGUCUCGAAUGAUGGCGAUUGGCAGAUUUGGGAAGCAUUUCCUAGAAGAUUCGUUUGAAAAAAAGAAUUUGUAGGAGUAUGACAUUUGUGAGUUUAUUGCUAUAAGGAGAUGUUAGCCAACCUCUAUUCCAAAGUUAAAAAUAAAUUAAUUAAGAAUAAAAUGAAAUAAAAAUCAAAUACUAGUGGCUGAAUCCUUGCCAGGAAAAGAGAGCAAAGGGAUGAGUUUACAAAGGAAAAUCUGACAAGUUAACUUGUAAGUAAGCAUACAUGCAUGAUGUUAUGUUUAUGGAUGGAUGGAGGCUGCAGUUCAUUCAUAUUCCUUAGGUGUCCUAAAGAUCCAGGGCUUGGCUCUUGUGCUUAAAAUAGCUUUGGCGGUGCGUCCACCCCCUCGCGCAAAGUCACAAUUAGGAGCAGUUCGCCUCCGCGGGAACUCCCGUGACCGCCCUGCUGCACCGCCGCCCCCAGCGCUCCCGAUGCCUCCGGCGAUCCAGACGAGCCUCUGGAACCGCCCUUCGCCCGCAAGAAUCUCGGCUCUUGCCCGCCUCCCGGGUGCCUCUGGCCCUUGGACCCGCCAGGACCCCAGCAGCCUAGGGUGCGGAAGUUGCGACCCAGGGUAACAAACGUUUCCAUCCCGAGGGCUGUGCCGGGAGCCCGCGGACACCUCAUCCGACCGCACCGGGAGCGGGGCGGAGCACAGGAGUGGCUGCUCCCCAAAGAUGCGCCCCGGGUGCCCAGAAAGGGUGUCCCCGCGGGGGCGUUUGCUCCCGGGUCUGCGGCGCGCCUGUGCCCACGAGCGGGGCGGAGCGACGGGUUUUCAAUUUCUCCCUCCUUGCCGCCCCGGGGUUCCGCUCAGCUAAAUCCCAUGCUAGGCGCUUUGAUUUUCACCAAUUAGGGGCACACUUAGAGCCGGCAUUAGCAUUUAAAAUGAUUAUUUUUUAAGCAUUUCGAAGAGGAAGGGGCCUGAGUGAAAGUGGAGGGUAGGAGGGGAGAAGUGUUAAAUCUCUUCCAAAUCGCCACGAGAAAUCUAACUGGUUACGUACGAGUUUGUGACAGUUUGUUGGCUUUCCCCAAAUAUCCUCAGAUUAGCCUGACAGCUCCUUCCCUAAAAAUGCCCGGAGUAAAAGCCCCCCGCUCGGGAGCUGUUAAAUGGUGUCACCGAAUCCAAUCUCAGGGCGAUUACGGAGUUAAUUCACAUAAUAAGCAAAUCAUAGAGCUGACAGAUUAUUAUAUGAACACGGACAAAUUGUUACAUAAAAUAUUUUGAUACUGAUUGUUUUAUUAGUAAUGUUAAGCCUCUUCAUGGCUGUUUCUGUUUCUCGGGACUGACAUGUUAAACAAUGCUCACUGCUAAAUAAAUAAACCAAAAUGGUGUGAACUAAUUGUCUCCGUCAUUUAACUGUACACUUUCAUUAACAUUAUUAACACGAUUAUUGAGCAUUCUACUGGAUAUUUACACGGAUAAGAUUUUUCAGUAGCAAAUGUUACCCACAGAAGAAAAAAAAAAUGCUAACUUAAAGUGGACUUGACUAACAUCCAGGUGUGAAAACUGAUCUUUUUGAUCUUUAAAGACACAGUAAAGGUUGUAUCAUUAGACUAUUAUGAUUUUCAAGUGCACGUGCUCCAGCUAUUAAAAGCAAUUUCAAUUAUUAAUGAAAACAACAACAAAAAGGCACAAAGGGUAUAAUCACAAAUCAAAACUUAGAAAAAUAUGUUUUGCCCAGCAAAGAAAAGAAAUGUAAUUCAUAUUUUAUUUUAUCAAGGAAAGCUCUGUGCAGUUUACUUAGUGCUGCAUAAUUAUGCUUCCUAGUUUUAAUAGAGCCGUAUGCACAUAAGAUCAAAAUGAUUAAUGGGUAUUUUGUUGAUAAAAAGAAACGCAGCAACUCAAUCUUUGACAUUUCAAAUAAAGCUUCAUUGACAAAGAACAUUUUUAGCCAAUGAAAAGUCUUUAUGAACUUAAGUGGGGUGUUAUAUAUCACAUAAGUAAGUGAAAAGUCAAAUUUUAAAUUUAGCUAGGGUUGUCACUUUCAGAAACUGGAAUCUUAGGUGUAAGUUGAGAUGAACUUGGGGGAGGGGUGAAGAAUUGGAAAAGAGGAAGAAAAAAAACCAAAGAAAUUUCCAUCUAUGAACAACAAAAAUACAUCAAUACAUCCUAUAUAUCUU
ensembl:lncRNA